rnacentral:rRNA from 1 species
UACGUAGGGUGCAAGCGUUAUCCGGAAUUAUUGGGCGUAAAGAGCUCGUAGGCGGUUUGUCGCGUCUGCUGUGAAAUCUGGGGGCUCAACCCCCAGCCUGCAGUGGGUACGGGCAGAUUAGAGUGCGGUAGGGGAGAUUGGAAUUCCUGGUGUAGCGGUGGAAUGCGCAGAUAUCAGGAGGAACACCGAUGGCGAAGGCAGAUCUCUGGGCCGUAACUGACGCUGAGGAGCGAAAGCAUGGGGAGCGAACAGG